ACCCUAGCCUCAUUUCUCUCCCUCUCCCUUCUCUCGGCCGCGUCUCUCUCCCCGACCUCUCACACUUUCUCUCUCUUCUUCCCUCUGCAAACGCCGGAAACCCAAUCUCCGGCCACCACCUUUUGACACAGCCUCCACCCUUCGAACUAGCUCCUAUAUCGACCAAAACCCGAGCCCAGCACCGCCAUGCAUCGUCUCCAGCCAUGUAAUCAGCGCCUCACUACCCACCUGUUUCUGAGACGCCGAUCUCCGAUUCCGACCAGGGCCACCGCACGCGCUACACGCGCCGCCGCUGGUGUGUAGACCGCCAUAGCUCCUCCAGGUAUACCGCCGAUUUAAUCCCUUGUCCUGGGCUUGAGGAAAUAAUGGAAUUCAGACCGGAGAGUGAAGCUUCUGGUCUUGGCUUUGAUUUGUGUUCUUGAUGGGAGGAUGAAGAACUGAGAAAGACUGCAAGAAGCAGCACUUUGCGGAGAUUAUGGUCUCGGCAGAACUGAAAAUGGGUAAGGAAUGCAGGCCUUUGAGUUAUGAGUUUGAUUGUUGUUUGGACGUUGGGAUUAAUUAACUAAGUUGUUGUUCUGCUUUGAGAGAUUUUGGAAAUCCUGAGCUUUGGAAUUUGGGAGUUCGAAGAUUUGGAGAAGGGGAAAUAUUGGGUCACCCCACUGAAAAUGGAUUGAGGAAUUCGAGUGAUAGUUGGUCAAGGAGCAGUCGAGCCGGAGCAGCAAAAGUUGGAUUCGCCUUUGUUUGAAAAGAGAAGAAAUGGUAAGGUGAUGGUCUCUGCCACGCUAUGGACUUGUAUAUGUGGUGAUUGUAUUAUAGGAUUCUAGUGGUUUGUUACGGAAUGGAAUGAGAUUUGAUAUGUUGCUUGACGAGUAUGAAUUAAUUGAAUAUUUAUAGAA